rnacentral:sRNA from 1 species
CUCUCCUCUCCUGCUAUAGAGGGCUCCGACAGCAGUUCCCAGCUAGCGUGUUCAGCCUGCCUGCCUGCCUGCCUCUGUGUGUGUGUGAGCGUGUGUGCGUGCGUCUACUUUGUACUGGGAAGAACACAGCCCAUGUGCUCUGCAUGGACGUUACUGAUACUCUGUUUAGCUUGAUUUUCGAAAAGCAGGCAAGAUGUCCAGCACACCACAUGACCCCUUCUAUUCUUCUCCUUUCGGCCCAUUUUAUAGGAGGCAUACACCAUACAUGGUACAGCCAGAGUACCGAAUCUAUGAGAUGAACAAGAGACUGCAGUCUCGCACAGAGGAUAGUGACAACCUCUGGUGGGAUGCCUUUGCCACUGAAUUUUUUGAAGAUGACGCCACAUUAACCCUUUCAUUUUGUUUGGAAGAUGGACCAAAGCGAUACAGAACCAAGAAUGUAAGACCAAUUGGGGAAAAAAUGAAUAUUAAUGGCAAAUGGUUCUUAUGCAUCACAGCCCACCUCAUUCCCUAGUUCCCUCUGUAGGAUUAAUUGUCCCUUCUGUCUGUGCCAGUGGCAUGU